rnacentral:piRNA from 1 species
UACUUUUCUGUGGUGCUCUGGGUUUCGGG